CCGGCCCUGGUCGGAAGCCAGAGAGGGACAAAGGAUUCCCGCCUUAUGUAAAAAUAUAUAUAAGUGGGUGAAAAAAGAACAAAGGGGCGGUCAUCAUGAGAAAUCCCCUAGCUACCACCUGAGCUGGAACAAGGGCUACACCAGGAUAAAGGAUUGUGCCCAGACUAGGAAGGCAUCCAGUCUGUGAAAGAAACUUAUUGAAACAUCUUUGAGGGAUUGAGACUGAUUCACCUCCCACCAAUUCCUGGUGAGCCCAGAUUCAAAAAACCUUUGGAUCCUAAAACAAGGAAAAAUCAAUCAGAAUAAUCUCUAUCUUACCUGGAUUCAGCUUCAAUCAAAGACAGAGCUUAUUCCAAAGACAGAGCUUAUCCAAGCACUGGGACAUCUUGGUGGUAGUGAUUUGGCCAUAUGUGUUCAUGGAUCAAUAGAGCUGUGUGCCAUCUCUAUACUGCUAUAACUUCUCAAAAGGUAGAAGGCCAGAGAUCUAUGGAUGUCGAGAGUGUGAAGGGAUGCCUCCCUGGCGUCAGCGUGGGGUUUCGGAAAAAA